GCCCGGCUAGCUCAGGCGGUAGAGCACAGGACUCUUAAUCCUGGCGGUCGUGGGUUCGAGCCCCACGUUGGGCC